UGUCGCUGAGGAUGGAAUAGAGAGUGAGUACAUUCCAACUAUUGAUUUCUCCCUCCUGUCUGCCUCAGUUGAAGAUGAAGACCUCAACUUAGAGAUGCUAGAGUGGCUGUCUGAAAAUGUACUGUUUGCUCUCAAAAACACAGGCUUUCUAUACCUGAAGAACUGGCUUGGAGAAAGAGGAAGUGGAUUUGGUGAACAAUUUGUGCAGCGACUUUUUUCAACUGCCUGAAAAGGAAAAACAAAAGUUUUCACGGGGCAGCAGUGACGAAAGAAAUCAUGGAUAUGUCGGCUACCAGGUGGAGUCUUUGGAUCCUAAACAGCCCAGUGACCUGAAAGAGGCCUUCAACUUUGUCCCAUUUGAGGUGCAGAUGUUUGGUCUACAGUGGCCAAAUGCACAGUUCGUAUCCUGUCUCACUCAAUUUUAUCAGAAGAUGAAGAAAAUAUCUCUGAGACUGCUAAUGGCUAUUGCCGUUGGUAAGCAUUAUUAAUUUUAUUAUGUGU